UCUUAACAACUUAUCAAUUGACUGCCACAGCUCAACGUGAGUAAAGAUUUGCAUUCUAAUUUUUUCAGACUAUGUGUAAUAUGUAUUACCCUUACUUUUCAUUUUCUAUUUUCAUAUUCAAUAUUAAUGUAUGACACCUCUGCCAUCGCUCCACUAAACAAGUAAUCGAAAAGCUUUAUUGAAUCUAAUCGGAAUGCAUAUUUAAUUACAUCAACAAAACAAUGUAUUGGGUUAGAUACAUAUAUAAUAUAUUUUAAAGAUUAUUUAUCUUUUCUUAAUUUGAUUUGUAUUUCUUAAUAGAUAAUCUUACACCAUAUGGAAUAGCUACGCAGAGUUCUAAUUUUGAAGAAAGCUUACCCCAAAAUGCUAUAGAGCCACCUAUAUCAAAUGCAUUUAGUAAGACUUUGUUCUCACACCAGACGUGGUAGUGAACCAGCUUGGUGGAUAAUUCAUUUUUCAUUCGGACAUGAAUACAUCACAGAUAUAAACCUAUACUAUAGAGAAAACUGUACGUUAACACAAAAGCAUGAUAGAAAACUGUUUUUGUUAAAUUUUGCUAUACUUACAAUGCCGACUUGUAAAAGAAACUAUUUGGAAUGAUCAAUGUUUGUCGCUAACCUACAUGUUUUUUACAAGAGAACUUAUUUUGCUUGAAUGUGUUGCGUCUGUUCGGACUCUUUUACUUAUAACAAUAUAUCGAGAGCUUGUAAGUUAAAAUAAAGUGCAAAACAAUGUAUUGUAAUGGGUUUUAGUUAUACAACGGCAUCAAAAGAAUAAAGUGUAAAAUAAAAGUAAAAUUACAAAAAUACCAAGUUCCGAGGAAAUUUCUCAAUGGAAAGUCGCUUAACAAAUGAAAUUAAUCAAAAUAUCAAACACACCAUAAAUAUUUUCUGAUAUAUACAAUGGUCUUUUAAACCAGGUUUUGUAGCUGAAUAAAUCUCUCACUUGUAUGGCAUUCAACCAUUGUAUUAUGAUUUUAACCCCUUAAAAAAAACAAGUCAACAAAGCAAUAAAAUGCAUGAACUUCAGAUUUUCAUUAAGUGAGAAAGUCUUAACUUUAACACAAAAAUCGUGUUGAAUUAUGGAGGGUAUUAAUUCAACAUUGAUAUAUCCACUGUAUUCCAACUAUCAAGUUUCAUUUCUUUAAUUGAUCAAUUAUCUCAAAAACAAACUUUGGCAAGAAGACCGUUGUUGGCCAUGCAAAUGCUAUUGUAAUACGUUUACUCCCGUCGACAAUUAUUUUUUUCCGAAGCGCAUAAGUUCACUGACAGACCAAUCGAGUACAUGUAAAUUAUUGACAUCAAGUUAAGUAUGUUCUUACACCGUUGUUUUACUGAAAAAUUGUUAAAUAAAUCUCCAGUAAAUAAACAAAUCCUCGAGUAUAAUGAUAGAUCGGUUUCGAAAAAAAAAUAAUCUACUCUUUAUAAUAAUAAAAAAAAAAAUAUUACAAAGGAUUUUCAUUGAAAAAUGUUGAAAACAGAGCAAAAAGUAAAAUCACAAAAAUACUGAACUCAGAGGAAAAUCUAAUCAGAAAGUCCAUAAUCACAUGGCAAACUCAAAUGACAAAACAAAUCAAAACCGAAUGGACAAGAACUAUUAGAAAAAUAAGGACUUAUAUACGGAUAAUUAUGUACACGCUAUUAACUUUUAUUCCUACAACAACACUACAUAUGCAUUCCACAACUAUAACAUAUUGUUACCACAAUUACUUCUGAUUACAGCGUCAUCGAGUAUAGCUAAUAUCGAAUUUAUAUUUAGUAUGAAAAACAUCUAUAAGCUACACGACGGGUGCCACAUGUGGAGCAGGAUCUGCUUACCCUUCCGGAGCACCUGAGAUACCCUAGUUUUUGUGGGUUCGUGUUGUUUUUCUUAGUUUUCUAUGUUGUGUCGUUUACUAUUGUUUUCUGUUGUCUUCUUUAUUUUAGCCGGCGUUGUCAGUUUGUUUUAGAUUUAUGAGUUUGACUGUCCCUUUGGUAUCUUUCGUCCCUCUUCUAUAAACUAUUGACGGUGUGUUAUUUUGGAAAUACUUUACGGUAUAAUCGAGAUAUUCAUACUUGAUUAGUUUACCAAAACAAACAUUAUGUUAAUCACGAGGCUCAUCAAGAUAUGUAAAGAUACUUGGCAGGCAUGCACAAUGCGCAAUGAUUAAUAAACAGAGAAGAUAAUCCUUUAAGACUGCAUAACUGCAUACAAUUAAGAAAUAUGAUGAUCAAAUGAAAUACCCUAAAAGGUGUUCACUCAUAAUAAAUACAAUGAUCAAAUCCAAUAUUAACAAAACUUUUUCCUUCAACAUGUUCAACAAACCUGUUCUAUAUCGAUAUGUCCUUGUCUAUGGACAGAAUAAAGUACAUUCAUCGUUUAGAGUUGUACAUUGAACUUGUAAUCACAUGUACGUAUAAUGUAUAUUUGGUAUGUCAUUUGCAUUGUUAUAAAUUAGCAUUGCAUUAUUUUUUAUGAAUUCAUUGUAUAGAUGUAUUCCUGAAUUUUUUUUGAAAUGCAUAAUGGUUGAAGUUAAAUUUGAUCAACUGUAAUAUACUAAGAAAAGUACUAAAAAACAUAACUACAUUUAGAAGUUGUCAAUUUUAUAUGAACUACCUAACGUCACGAGACAGAUCUAAAACUGAUUGAUUAUUCUUUGACAUCCAAAUACGUCAUUUUAAUAUAAGGACAUGUUUUGUUAAGAAUAAUAGAUUGUUUUAUUUCAUCGGUGAUUGACUUUUUUUUCAAAAUGUUUUUGUUUUAGAAGGACAUAAUUAUACUAUAGAAGUAUAAUGAAUGAAGUUUCGUUGUUAUUGUACACAUAUAAAGUUUGUUGUUCGUGUAAAACCAAUUGAAAAGCCAAUUUAUUAUUGUGUUAUAAUGCAAAAAGAUACUAGAUAUAAGGAUUGUGAUAUGUUUGUCAAUAUAGUCACGCAUGUAAAUUCUUAUUGGUAUGUUAUCCAUUGUAGUUGAAGUCCGAAUGUAUGGAUUUAAAGUAUGUGUGACAAAAACAUCAACUAUUCCACUUGACGGUUAUCUCUGCUAUGAAGACCCAGCUGAUGCUCUCCCUAUCACCACGCAAACAAUUCCAUGUUAUCAACUUGGAAAUGGGGAAUGUGCCAAAGAGACAACAACCCGACCAUA
rnacentral:lncRNA from 1 species